CAGUUCAAGUACUAAUUAGCGUGUUACGCUAUUUUCAAGGGAGAAAACAGUCAAGGGCAAGAGAGGCCUAACGAGGAAUUUAAGUGAAGAUAAGCACACGAGGUUGAACGUCAGGAUGGAGAAAAGAUUGAUCAGAGUCGAUGCUAUUAAAUAAGCCUGUGGAUAUCUCGACGAUUCGUGUCUUCAUACACGAAGUCGUUCAGUUGGGACCUAUUCCGCUGUGUUUCGUUGAAUGAGAAUAGUAUUGUCUCAUCAUUGAACUCUGAUUCAGUUGACACAUCAAACAUUCUAUUUUGAGAUUGUACCAAAUACUCGACUGUUAUUUUGGUAAUAUCACAUUUGUCCUUCGA